AGCGUACACGGUGGAUGCCCUGGCAGUCAGAGGCGAUGAAGGACGUGCUAAUCUGCGAUAAGCGUCGGUAAGGUGAUAUGAACCGUUAUAACCGGCGAUUUCCGAAUGGGGAAACCCAGUGUGWUUCGWCACACUAUCAUUAACUGAAUCCAUAGGUUAAUGAGGCGAACCGGGGGAACUGAAACAUCUAAGUACCCCGAGGAAAAGAAAUCAACCGAGAUUCCCCCAGUAGCGGCGAGCGAACGGGGAGSAGCCCAGAGCCUGAAUCAGURUGUGUGUUAGUGGAAGCGUCUGGAAAGGCGCGCGAUACAGGGUGACAGCCCCGUACACAAAAAUGCACAURYUGUGAGCUCGAUGAGUAGGGCGGGACACGUGGUAUCCUGUCUGAAUAUGGGGGGACCAUCCUCCAAGGCUAAAUACUCCUGACUGACCGAUAGUGAACCAGUACCGUGAGGGAAAGGCGAAAAGAACCCCGGCGAGGGGAGUGAAAAAGAACCUGAAACCGUGUACGUACAAGCAGUGGGAGCACGCUUMGGCGUGUGACUGCGUACCUUUUGUAUAAUGGGUCAGCGACUUAUAUUCUGUAGCAAGGUUAACCGAAUAGGGGAGCCGAAGGGAAACCGAGUCUUAACUGGGCGUUAAGUUGCAGGGUAUAGACCCGAAACCCGGUGAUCUAGCCAUGGGCAGGUUGAAGGUUGGGUAACACUAACUGGAGGACCGAACCGACUAAUGUUGAAAAAUUAGCGGAUGACUUGUGGCUGGGGGUGAAAGGCCAAUCAAACCGGGAGAUAGCUGGUUCUCCCCGAAAGCUAUUUAGGUAGCGCCUCGUGAAUUCAUCUCCGGGGGUAGAGCACUGUUUCGGCAAGGGGGUCAUCCCGACUUACCAACCCGAUGCAAACUGCGAAUACCGGAGAAUGUUAUCACGGGAGACACACGGCGGGUGCUAACGUCCGUCGUGAAGAGGGAAACAACCCAGACCGCCAGCUAAGGUCCCAAAGUCAUGGUUAAGUGGGAAACGAUGUGGGAAGGCCCAGACAGCCAGGAUGUUGGCUUAGAAGCAGCCAUCAUUUAAAGAAAGCGUAAUAGCUCACUGGUCGAGUCGGCCUGCGCGGAAGAUGUAACGGGGCUAAACCAUGCACCGAAGCUGCGGCAGCGACGCUUAUGCGUUGUUGGGUAGGGGAGCGUUCUGUAAGCCUGYGAAGGUGURCUGUGAGGYAUGCUGGAGGUAUCAGAAGUGCGAAUGCUGACAUAAGUAACGAUAAAGCGGGUGAAAAGCCCGCUCGCCGGAAGACCAAGGGUUCCUGUCCAACGUUAAUCGGGGCAGGGUGAGUCGACCCCUAAGGCGAGGCCGAAAGGCGUAGUCGAUGGAAAACAGGUUAAUAUUCCUGUACUUGGUGUUACUGCGAAGGGGGGACGGAGAAGGCUAUGUUGGCCGGGCGACGGUUGUCCCGGUUUAAGCGUGUAGGCUGGUUUUCCAGGCAAAUCCGGAAAAUCAAGGCUGAGGCGUGAUGACGAGGCACUACGGUGCUGAAGCAACAAAUGCCCUGCUUCCAGGAAAAGCCUCUAAGCAUCAGGUAACAUCAAAUCGUACCCCAAACCGACACAGGUGGUCAGGUAGAGAAUACCAAGGCGCUUGAGAGAACUCGGGUGAAGGAACUAGGCAAAAUGGUGCCGUAACUUCGGGAGAAGGCACGCUGAUAUGUAGGUGAAGCGACUUGCUCGUGGAGCUGAAAUCAGUCGAAGAUACCAGCUGGCUGCAACUGUUUAUUAAAAACACAGCACUGUGCAAACACGAAAGUGGACGUAUACGGUGUGACGCCUGCCCGGUGCCGGAAGGUUAAUUGAUGGGGUUAGCGCAAGCGAAGCUCUUGAUCGAAGCCCCGGUAAACGGCGGCCGUAACUAUAACGGUCCUAAGGUAGCGAAAUUCCUUGUCGGGUAAGUUCCGACCUGCACGAAUGGCGUAAUGAUGGCCAGGCUGUCUCCACCCGAGACUCAGUGAAAUUGAACUCGCUGUGAAGAUGCAGUGUACCCGCGGCAAGACGGAAAGACCCCGUGAACCUUUACUAUAGCUUGACACUGAACAUUGAGCCUUGAUGUGUAGGAUAGGUGGGAGGCUUUGAAGUGUGGACGCCAGUCUGCAUGGAGCCGACCUUGAAAUACCACCCUUUAAUGUUUGAUGUUCUAACGUUGACCCGUAAUCCGGGUUGCGGACAGUGUCUGGUGGGUAGUUUGACUGGGGCGGUCUCCUCCUAAAGAGUAACGGAGGAGCACGAAGGUUGGCUAAUCCUGGUCGGACAUCAGGAGGUUAGUGCAAUGGCAUAAGCCAGCUUGACUGCGAGCGUGACGGCGCGAGCAGGUGCGAAAGCAGGUCAUAGUGAUCCGGUGGUUCUGAAUGGAAGGGCCAUCGCUCAACGGAUAAAAGGUACUCCGGGGAUAACAGGCUGAUACCGCCCAAGAGUUCAUAUCGACGGCGGUGUUUGGCACCUCGAUGUCGGCUCAUCACAUCCUGGGGCUGAAGUAGGUCCCAAGGGUAUGGCUGUUCGCCAUUUAAAGUGGUACGCGAGCUGGGUUUAGAACGUCGUGAGACAGUUCGGUCCCUAUCUGCCGUGGGCGCUGGAGAACUGAGGGGGGCUGCUCCUAGUACGAGAGGACCGGAGUGGACGCAUCACUGGUGUUCGGGUUGUCAUGCCAAUGGCACUGCCCGGUAGCUAAAUGCGGAAGAGAUAAGUGCUGAAAGCAUCUAAGCACGAAACUUGCCCCGAGAUGAGUUCU
rnacentral:rRNA from 1 species